GUCGGAGUGGCGGAACUUGGCAGACGCGCUGGACUCAGGAUCCAGUGGGUUUUUACCCGUGCGGGUUCAAAUCCCGCCUCCGACACCA
rnacentral:tRNA from 1 species